ensembl:snRNA U2 U2 spliceosomal RNA
AUCGCUUCACUGCCUUUUGGCUAAGAUCAAGUGUAGUGUCUGUUCUUAUCAGUUUAAUAUCUGAUAUAUCCUCUGUCCAAAGACAAUAGGAGAUGCAAAUAUCUGUUCAGUCUGAGUCCACCAUCU